UAACCAAGUUUCGAUAAUAGAAAAAGAGAUAGGAACGCUGGCGGAAUGCUUUACACAUGCCAUUCCAAAAAAGAUGAACCCUAGCUUGCUAGGGGGAUUAGUGGCGAACGGGUGAGUAAUAUAUCGGAACGUGCCUUGUAAUGGGGGAUAACUAGUCGAAAGAUUAGCUAAUACCGCAUACGCCCUGAGGGGGAAAGUAGGGGAUCUUCGGACCUUACGUUAUAAGAGCGGCCGAUAUCUGAUUAGCUAGUUGGUGGGGUAAUGGCCUACCAAGGCUUCGAUCAGUAGCUGGUCUGAGAGGACGACCAGCCACACUGGAACUGAGACACGGUCCAGACUCCUACGGGAGGCAGCAGUGGGGAAUUUUGGACAAUGGGCGCAAGCCUGAUCCAGCCAUUCCGCGUGAGUGAAGAAGGCCUUCGGGUUGUAAAGCUCUUUCGCAAGGGAAGAAAACUUACUUUCUAAUAAAGAGUGAGGCUGACGGUACCUUGAUAAGAAGCACCGGCUAACUACGUGCCAGCAGCCGCGGUAAUACUUAGGGUGCGAGCGUUAAUCGGAAUUACUGGGCGUAAAGCGUGCGCAGGCGGUUUGGUAAGUCAGAUGUGAAAUCCCCGAGCUCAACUUGGGAACUGCGUUUGAAACUGCCAGACUAGAAUAUGUCAGAGGGGGGUAGAAUUCCACGUGUAGCAGUGAAAUGCGUAGAGAUGUGGAGGAAUACCAAUGGCGAAGGCAGCCCCCUGAGACAAUAUUGACGCUCAUGCACGAAAGCGUGGGGAGCAAACAGGAUUAGAUACCCUGGUAGUCCACGCCCUAAACGAUGUCUACUAGUUGUUGGUGAGUAAAUCCAUGAGUAACGCAGCUAACGCGUGAAGUAACCCGCCUGGGGGAGUACCGUCGCAGAUUUAAACUCAAGGAUAUUGACGGGGGGCCCCGCCACAGCGGUUGUAUUAUGUGGAUUAAUUCGAUGCAUCGCGACAUACCUUUACUGGCCCUUGGACAUUGCCCACUAACCGAACCAUA
rnacentral:rRNA from 1 species